UCUCUGCUUACGCAGGCAGUAUACUUAGAGUCCCCAUCAUUACAUGCUGGCAACUAAGUAAUAGGGGUUGCGCUCGUUAUAGGACUUAACCAAACACCUCACGGCACGAGCUGACGACGGCCAUGCAACACCUUGCAUUUUGUCCUUGCGGAACUUUUGAUUUCUCAAAAUGUCAAAAUGCAUUCUAGCCCAGGUAAGGUUCCUUGCUUACUAUCAAAUUAAACCACGUGCUCCACCGCUUGUGCGGACCCCCGUCAAUUCCUUUAAGUUUCACUCUUGCGAGCAUACUCCCCAGGUGGGUCACUUAACGCUUUCGCUUGGACACAUAUUCCGAAGAACAUAUAUCGAGUGACCAUCGUUUACAGCAUGGACUAC
rnacentral:misc_RNA from 1 species